UGGCAAGGCUGGACCGUCGGCGAAGCCAUCCUGAGCCACAUGACUGCCUGAAUCCGGGUCCCUGAGCAGAACUGCUGAGUUUGGAUGCUUCCAGACUAGAGCAAAGUUCCUCAGCCUAUCUCUAUGAAAACUCGAUUAUCGUCAUUAAAUACAUACCGUGAUACACAAUGUCUCUGCAAUACUCCCCGAUGAGCCCAUGCACCGAACCUAAUGACUCUGACUGUAGCUAAAUAUUGUACUUGACUGUUAAGACACCACCGUAUGCUCAGCUCCUACCGCUGAUGAGAGGUCUACGAAGCAGCCUGAUGAUUUUCUGAAGGUCUGAGAUCAUGGUAACACCAUGAGAUUCACAAAAAAAAAGAUGUUUCCUUUCCCUUCCUCCCACUCCCUGCAAGGCUCAUUUUGCAAACUGCAGCUGCUGGAAAUGGAAAGCCAGCUAGAGCAACGUUGCUAUGAUGGUGCCGCGGAGCUGGGAUGCUGCAGCAGGAAUCAGCAGGUUGAGCCGAUUUUGGGCUCCCAAAGCACCGUGUUUGGAUGGACUUUAUUCUCCCGCUUGUGAGACGAGAUGGAGGAGCUGCUGACACUGCUGUUACGUGGAUCCGGUGCAAUCCUCUGCACUCCUGCCGGCAAUGUCAGGAACCCGUGUGGCUGUGUGCUACUGGUGCAGGUGAAGGCUGUCACCUCACAACCGAGUUUGUCCCCAGGCUCCGCUCAGGACUGGCCAGCCCUGCGUCUUCAGAGGGGCCCCACAGGACCAUGGAAUCUGUGCGAGCAAGACUGGUGGAACUGGGCAAGUGAGGAGUGAUGAGAGCUGCUAUGAGAGCUGUAACUUUGAGAACUCGUAACUCACAGCUCAAUAUGAUUCACCAAUUUCCAAUGAAGCCAUCUGUGAUGGGAGCUAAAAUGAGAACAGAACAGGAUUCACUAUGAAAUGCUCGUCAGAAGUACUCCCCUCAAGUGCAUGCUCUGCGGUUCUCACACUGCCAGAAGCAGCUUCUCACUGAAGGCAAAGAAAGUACACAGAAAAGUUAGACGAAUGGACUGGUUUGAUCUCAAAUGGACAGCAAGUCAUAAUGAUACGUUCAACAGAGAGGUUCAACCAGAUCGACAGCUGAGAAGACUUGGCAGUAAGAGAUAAGUGAUAAUGAUCUCCAUCAUGCGUUUCUACAGCACCUUUUAUUCCAAACUACUCCUAAUAUAACAAGAAUUUCUUUCCUUUUCUCUUCUUACUCUAGGCUACGCUUCAUAUGGGGAGUGGGGAAGUGGGGAGGAGAAGGAUUUAUGUCUCUAAAGCAGCUAUAUAGGCAGAAAUGCUGAGUGACAAACGAAAGUGAAAGAAGCUGUGCUUUGAUAGGCACAUUUAGGUGCCAUUCCUGAACUAAGGCCUGGGAGAAGUCCAGCUGAAAUCAGUGAGACUGUUCAUGUGAGAAAUGAUGAGAAGGAUUAGGUAUAGCUGGAACAUACUGAUAGCAUAACAUUUCUGAAGCAUUAUCCUGAGCCUUGGACAUGGGCACCCCUUGCUUGGGUGGUUUAGCAGAAUUAGUAGAAAUGUAAAUUCUAACAGGCACAAGAUCACCCUGUGUCUCCCUUAGGUUGGCUUCAGAAAUUUAACACGCACCUUUUGUUCUCCUGACCAUUCUCACAUAGCCCUGAGAAGUAAAGAGCAAACUCCACAAGAGUUUAUUUGGAGGCACUGCUUUACAUGCAUCCAGCACAUGUGACACUGCUGUGCUGUGGCACACGUUAGCACUAUCCAAGUUCCUCUGACAGGAACUAGAAAACAUCUUUUCCAUUUGAAGCCACAAGGGAAUUUAAAAAGGGAAAGGAGAAACUACAGAAAAGAAGUGCAGAAAAUACAAAAUCAAUUUUUCUGUGGGAUUUUGGCAAUGCAAAGUAACGUCAGCUUAUUUAACACAUUGAUGUUCAUUAAUUUUCUUUUUUUACUCUAUAAGUUGGCAGAAGAAUGAGCUAAGUGAAUGACUAUUGCUUAGUGAUAUUUGAUCAAAUAAGCUACUAUUGUUUCCAUUCCACUUCCUACAAAAGUCUGAGGAAAAACAGUAAAUACAAACAGGUGAGGAACAUACUGGAAAUAUGAUUACACAAAAAGCCUGAUGCAUGUUUUUACAUAUUUCUUUUCCUAAGUCAUAUUUCGCAGCAGGUUACCUAAAUGGGAAUUUACUAGGACAAUCUCUUUCAAAAGUGCAGUUACAUAUCUAAUGACAGUAUGUGCUCAGAAGUUUGCUAUCCAUGAUGUUUGAAAGACUACAUCUUUCGUAGCACAAAGAAAAAUGUCACAUAUUGAAUUGCACAGAGAUUAUUCUUCAGCAGCCCAGCUAUUUCUUAGAAUCUGAGUAACCUUGAGUAACCCUCUUACCUUAUGUAAACUGGAAAAAUCAUAGUGGAAGGUGACUACAGGAUGUAGAAAAGCUAUAGGAGAAAACAUUGCUUUAUCAGGAAGGAGAUGAAAUGGUCACACAGCUUUUUGGUCUCUUUGGCCUUUGUUUCUGCAAGAAGUGAAGCUCAUGACAAAUAUCACUGCCUUAAGAUGAAUAUCACAUUACUGGAGAGUACAAGUACUGGAGAACAGUACUUGAUCAUUUAUUGAAGAGCCUUGUAAAACGAAUAGAAACUAGCAUCCAGAGGCUUUUGCAAGUCGUAUCAGUAUGUCUGGAGGCUGUGCGGUGGCGUGCCAGCUACUAGCUCACUUCAGUGAUGGGCUGGCACACCUUGACACAGCCUCCAGUGAAGGCAGCUGAGCUCCACGUUUGUAAUUAGACUUCUUAUCUUGCCAAUUAAAUAUGGAGAUAUGAAAUAAAAUAUAAUUUCAGAAUAUUAGAAAGAGUAAGAGAAUGAUCUCAGAAGCCAGGUCUUUAUUUUAGAGAUAGAUUUUAUUGCUUCCCCAAACCAAAUUGUCAAUAGAAGGGGAGGAAAUAAAGCAGCUCUUUUGCAAAAGCCAGGGACAAACUACGGGUAGGACCAUGAGUCUGUACUCAGGUUACCUGCAAUUAAGAAUUUCUUGGGUAUGUUAUUGCUUCCAAGAUUAAAAGUCAUUACCUGCGAGGCUACGUCAACAAUCACUGCUACCAUCUAGCUCUCCUCCAUUUGAGAGAGUUGCAAGCCUCUGCUCCCAUCGUCAUUCGAAACGCAAGUAUAUUCUGGGAGCCAGUUUCAUUCUCCAACUUGUACCUAAGCACAACUCUCAGGAAGUUUCUCAACACAACUGCCUGAAAAGCAAAGCUCCCUGUUUCCUACAGGCUCUCCACCAGCAGCACAGGGGUGUUGACAGCAACUGAACAAGCAGCAGCUGUGCUUGCAACAGCCACAGCGAGGAACCAGUAUCCAAGAGUGUCAGAGAGCAUCAGAGUUGUCAGCAGGCUCCUGCCAGCACCUUUCCCUUCAGACUCUUACUUUGUACUUUCUACAUUUUAAGCACGUGACUGUGUAUGGCAAAGAAGAAAAUGGGUGAGAAGAUCUGCUUUGUUUUCUGUUUAUACCACAUGGAAGGCUAUGGAUCCAUACAUCUCACAGACUUUACUGGGUCAACCAAAAUAUUUCUGGUAAAUUCACAUAGGUGAUUUCAAAAGCAUCAUAUUGGCAGUUUCUCAAACAUGAGUCACUUGCAUGAAAACUCUCCUGGGUGCAGGAACAUGGUAUGUGCUCCAUUCAUUUAGCCUGCAAUGGUGUGUUUAAGAAUGGAGGCUGAAGCUUUCUCUAGGCUUUUCUCUUGGGUUAUUCUGAGGUUAAUAACUAAGCACUGUUAAUGAGCAGGCUGAGCACUGCAGCUGCAGGAGAGACGGGAAGGAAAAGGUCAGAUGCUCACUCUCAUAGCAAAAGCAUUUGUCACGUGUGAAGCUGAAUCUAGAGAUAGAUAGAUGCUGCCUUCAAAAUUCCUUAAUCUCUUUGAGGAGUUCAUUAAUAAAAGGACCUGUUUCCUGCUUCACCAGGAGCUCAGUGAUACAGGGGAUUUUGUUCUCUCAGCUUUCUGCUUCAGCCUCUCCUUACUGGAAAGUAACAUCCAUCUGCACAUCUUUCAAAGAUAUUAGAAGUCUCCUGUUAUAUUCUUUAACUGACAGCUCAUCAUCGCCCUCCUCUCACAUCACCUCAUCCAGUCAGCUUGAAAACUGCUUGCAACGCUGCCAUGCAUCAUCUCCCAAACCUGACUAAGCUCUCCUUUGGGGCUCUAAGCACCCCGCCAGAAACCUCCAAGAGUAACAGGCAUGAGCUCUCCAUUCCCGUUGGCCCUGACAGCAUCCCUGAUACAAUGGUGAGAUUCUCCACAAAGCGCUGGACCAAUCCAUAUGUGCUUCUCUAGGCAUUAAGUCCUCAACCUCCACCCCAAAUUAUGGUCCCUGGAGUGCAGAAUAGAGAGCCCCUGUGUUGGUAAGGGAGAUGGAGUACACAAUGAACAAGGACAGGGUGAGAAAACUGGAUGUAGCCAGUCUUGAAAAGGAAAGGGUGAGAGGAUCUCAUUGCUCCUCUUCAACUGCCUAGUGACAGGGUGCAAAAAAGUCAGACCACUGAAAGUGCACAGAUGAUAGGAUAACAGGCAGUGGACAAGAGUUACAAUAAGAGAAAAUCUGAGCAAAGAUUAGGAAAAAACUGUCACCAGUCCGGCAUCGGACCAAGUAUGCACUAAGGCUGCAACAUCUCCAUCCUGAGAUAUUCAUAUCUUGAGUAGACAGGGCCCUGGCCAACUUAACUUAGCUGGCCCACCUUUAGCAGGUGAUUUGAUCAGAUGAUUUCCAGAGAUCCCUUCUAAAGUGCUCUAAGCAGCCUCUGCUUUGUCAGAAGUGUCAAUACAUUCAGGUGGUGGUGGCGACUGCUCCAUCCCACUCCUAGCUAGUUCAACAAAACAUUAACUAGAUCCAUUACCACGAUGUAAAGCCUCCAACAGAAAACUGCCCUGUCAGCAGUGAGGGGCUAUGGAGAUUUUCAGAAUUCUUUCUGCAGGGGUGCCGUGAUUACGAUCAUACGUUUGCAAUAAUGAUAAUGGAGCUAACCAUAAUACCAUUUCCAACUGAGGUAAGCUAUGGAUAUGUAUAAAAUACGUAUCAAAUUAUUUCUAGAUUUUUUAAGUUCAGAGCCGACAGGAGUUUUUUAUUAUAAUGAUUUUGUAUUGACAUAACAACAACUUUCAGCUAAGCGGUUAGGACUAUAUAUUUCCCUCAUGGCCUCCAAAAGCACUGUAAAUUGAAAUGUACAUUAAAAACAGUCAGUCUUUGUUUGCUGGCAACAUUGAAGGAGAAUUGACUGCAGUUUUAUUAAAAAAAAUUCCUAUCUUAAGUGACUGACCUACAAUGAGGAGUCUUAAUAAAACUCUCGUUUAAGAUUAAAACCAACAUUCUGUUUGACUACAUCCAUAGAAGCAUCAUUUUGCUCAACAAAAGUGUAAAGAUGCUCAUUAAUGUCUUCACAAAACCAAUGACUUGAUACAAAGCAUCAGACUAAAGAAAUCAAGAACUCAAAUACUCUGUCCUGCACCGACCUGACCGUACACGUUGCCUGCAGCUGCUCCAGCAAGCAAGGACAACCUGUUUCCUGCUCUGUCCUGGUCCCUGGAGAGACCUCUGUCCAACCUCCUUGGUUCAAAUACUUCAGUAGAAAACCAUCUUCACAGACAACCUGAGUGUCCAGUCCUAACACAGUAGUAAAGAUAACAGGAAAAAGCUGGGACUGGUAAUGAAAAAGUCCCUCUGGACCUUAAAAACUUGACUCAGUUAAAGCAGAAAAAUAGCAUCUAAAAACUAUAAAAGAUGAAUGAGACGACGUGGCCAGGUCCUAAGGCUGCCUCUCCUGCAAACAAAGUUGUCUGUGCAGAAGUGAUAGGUGCUAAUUAAUAAACAGUACUGCUUUUUCUUUACCAAUUAUUUAUUGAAACACCCGAUACUCCUCUUUGAUAAGCCAGUCUGAAUUGGUAAUAGCUUUUAUCACAGCCGUGAGCAAGCAGAAUCAAGUAUAGAGUGCCGUUCCUUUUAAGUUGUUUAUCUCCUCCUGUUACAGAAUUCUCUGCAGAGUUUGUUUGGAGUUGUAAUGAAUUAAACACCUUAUUUUUUAUUAUUAUUUGUAUUGUAGUAGUCUCUAGAAAUCCCACUGUGGACAACGGCUUUGCUGUUAUGUGAAUACAACUUUGAACACAGAAAAGGCUGUGUCCCACAGACCUUACCCCUGAGCCUUGUGAUUGAUUGCUUAUAUGUAUUCCUUCCAAAUGUUUUCUCUGAGCGAGUGUUUUCUGUAAUUUAUGUCAUAUUCUAUCUCCUGCUUUGUUUUGUGUCUGUAUUUGGGGAUGCAGUUUGCACAAAGCAACUGAAAAUGCAAAGUUGCAUUGCACAGGCCCACAGACAAACUCCAUAAAGCACUGAGAUCUGCACUUUCUGGAGAAUGAAACUAAACUCAGAGCAGAAGAGUAGAAAAUUUUCUAGCCAUGCCAAACAAGUUCAUGAUAUAAAGACCACAGGAAAAGACCACUGGUCCUUAACCAAUACAUUGCAGUUAAUUUGAAAACCCCAAUACACUGUCACAAAAUGUGAUCGUUUCACUUUGUUUUCACCAGGAAAAAACCAAAACCAAACCUCAACACAGUAAACAGAGCAAGCAGAUUGCUGGCCUUGGAGCAGCGAGCCUCUAGAGCACUGAUUAAAGUCAUCCACCCUCCAACACAUACAACUCCUCCCAAGAACUUAAGAUAUAACCAAUGCCCUCACAACCUAUUAGCCAGCUUUGCAUCCUGAACAAGAGAACCCUGGGGCCCAGCUCUGAAAGGUCAUGAAAUUUCUUAGGCUUAAACUAGACUUAAAAAUGGGUUUCCCAAAAGCAAAUGCAGGAAAAUAAUGAUUUGUAAGAGAAAAAAAUCUAAAGAAAUAACACAAUCCUCCCAUUCUUUUGAGUCUCCGAGUACAGGUGCAAAGGCGCGUGGCUCUGAAGGGGAAAGAAUCCAAAAUUUGGUUCUGGAGAAAGACAGAG